rnacentral:rRNA from 1 species
GAUGAACGCUGGCGGCGUGCCUAAUACAUGCAAGUCGAGCGAACGGACGAGAAGCUUGCUUCUCUGAUGUUAGCGGCGGACGGGUGAGUAACACGUGGAUAACCUACCUAUAAGACUGGGAUAACUUCGGGAAACCGGAGCUAAUACCGGAUAAUAUUUUGAACCGCAUGGUUCAAAAGUGAAAGACGGUCUUGCUGUCACUUAUAGAUGGAUCCGCGCUGCAUUAGCUAGUUGGUAAGGUAACGGCUUACCAAGGCAACGAUGCAUAGCCGACCUGAGAGGGUGAUCGGCCACACUGGAACUGAGACACGGUCCAGACUCCUACGGGAGGCAGCAGUAGGGAAUCUUCCGCAAUGGGCGAAAGCCUGACGGAGCAACGCCGCGUGAGUGAUGAAGGUCUUCGGAUCGUAAAACUCUGUUAUUAGGGAAGAACAUAUGUGUAAGUAACUGUGCACAUCUUGACGGUACCUAAUCAGAAAGCCACGGCUAACUACGUGCCAGCAGCCGCGGUAAUACGUAGGUGGCAAGCGUUAUCCGGAAUUAUUGGGCGUAAAGCGCGCGUAGGCGGUUUUUUAAGUCUGAUGUGAAAGCCCACGGCUCAACCGUGGAGGGUCAUUGGAAACUGGAAAACUUGAGUGCAGAAGAGGAAAGUGGAAUUCCAUGUGUAGCGGUGAAAUGCGCAGAGAUAUGGAGGAACACCAGUGGCGAAGGCGACUUUCUGGUCUGUAACUGACGCUGAUGUGCGAAAGCGUGGGGAUCAAACAGGAUUAGAUACCCUGGUAGUCCACACCGUAAACGAUGAGUGCUAAGUGUUAGGGGGUUUCCGCCCCUUAGUGCUGCAGCUAACGCAUUAAGCACUCCGCCUGGGGAGUACGACCGCAAGGUUGAAACUCAAAGGAAUUGACGGGGACCCGCACAAGCGGUGGAGCAUGUGGUUUAAUUCGAAGCAACGCGAAGAACCUUACCAAAUCUUGACAUCCUUUGACAACUCUAGAGAUAGAGCUUUCCCCUUCGGGGGACAAAGUGACAGGUGGUGCAUGGUUGUCGUCAGCUCGUGUCGUGAGAUGUUGGGUUAAGUCCCGCAACGAGCGCAACCCUUAAGCUUAGUUGCCAUCAUUAAGUUGGGCACUCUAAGUUGACUGCCGGUGACAAACCGGAGGAAGGUGGGGAUGACGUCAAAUCAUCAUGCCCCUUAUGAUUUGGGCUACACACGUGCUACAAUGGACAAUACAAAGGGCAGCGAAACCGUGAGGUCAAGCAAAUCCCAUAAAGUUGUUCUCAGUUCGGAUUGUAGUCUGCAACUCGACUACAUGAAGCUGGAAUCGCUAGUAAUCGUAGAUCAGCAUGCUACGGUGAAUACGUUCCCGGGUCU